UGGUCUAGUGGUAAGGGGCAUGUGGAGUGUACAUGGGGUCUAAGGUUCGAGUGGUGGCGCAUCAAAAAGGGAGUAUUUAUUUUGUUGCCUAAUUCGUGUGGAUGGUAGAGUUGGACUGAAAUACUGCUAAAUGGAGUUUGCACUGGUCAUAGAGAGAAUUGAGGGGGGAUAUAUUGAGAGAUUUGAGGAGAGAAUAUUGGGAUUUGGGGAGGUUGUUGUUUUGGAGAGAUAAUAGUAGGAAAUUAAGGGAUAGGAAGUGGAUGGAGAGUGUGUAGCUGAAAUGGAGGAGGGAUUUUUGGGGAUUAGGGGUUGUUGUCGAUUUGGUGAGAAUUAGAAUUCGGGUUUCAUUCAUUUUCUUUAAACCUUGGCCGAAUACAGCUUUUCUCCUCCCUCACCAUUUUUCUGUUCGGUUUUCUGUCCUAGUCGAUUCUCCCUUCUUGUUUUUUUUAAGCUUUACUGAAUAGCUUUCGGCUUUAGUAAGGGUUC
rnacentral:lncRNA from 1 species